UGGGCUUUAAAGAUUCAUACUAAAUGUAUGUCGGAUUGUUGAAGAAAUAUAGAAAGCUUGUGAAUAAAGAUGUCUUCGAUAAUUGAGUUGCUGAAACCAAUCGAUUAUAAAGCCUUAUUAUAUGAAACCAAAGAAUCAACUGGGAAUUAAACAGAGUGGAAUAGCAUAAGGCGCAGUCACCAUGGAAACACUUUUGUCAUUUUUUACAAAUACAAUAUUGAACAAAAAACAUGGCAUUAGAAUAUCGUUUUCCGUUGCACAUUCUAAUAUACUGUAAAUGAGCCGUCUUUCACAACAACAA